rnacentral:rRNA from 1 species
UCCGUAGGUGAACCUGCGGAAGGAUCAUUACCUAGAGUUGUAGGCUUUGCCUGCUAUCUCUUACCCAUGUCUUUUAAGUACCUUACGUUUCCUCGGCGGGUCCGCCCGCCGAUUGGACAAUUUAAACCAUUUGCAGUUGCAAUCAGCGUCUGAAAAAACUUAAUAGUUACAACUUUCAACAACGGAUCUCUUGGUUCUGGCAUCGAUGAAGAACGCAGCGAAAUGCGAUAAGUAGUGUGAAUUGCAGAAUUCAGUGAAUCAUCGAAUCUUUGAACGCACAUUGCGCCCCUUGGUAUUCCAUGGGGCAUGCCUGUUCGAGCGUCAUUUGUACCUUCAAGCUCUGCUUGGUGUUGGGUGUUUGUCUCGCCUCUGCGUGUAGACUCGCCUCAAAACAAUUGGCAGCCGGCGUAUUGAUUUCGGAGCGCAGUACAUCUCGCGCUUUGCACUCAUAACGACGACGUCCAAAAGUACAUUUUUACACUCUUGACCUCGGAUCAGGUAGGGAUACCCGCUGAACUUAAGCAUAUCAAUAGCGGAGG